AUAUGUUGCGUGCUCCUUAUGAGAAUCUAAUGCCUGAUGAUCUGAGGUGGAGCUGAGGCAGUGAUGCUAGCACUGGGGAGCGGCUGCAAAUACAGAUUAUCAUUAGCGGAGAGGUUUGACUGCACAGAGACCAUGAUAAAUCAACUGCUUGCAGACUCAUAUCAAAACCCAAUCUGUGGGUGUCAAGUGAAAACAAGCUCAGGGCUCCCACUGAUUCUGCAUUAUGAGUCAUCCCAACAGCAACACAAAGACCAGAUGGUUUCUGCAUUAUAGUUCCUGCUGCCAAGCCUGAGGAGCUGCCUGGAACUGCCAGUUUUCCAAGACGGGUGCUCCAGACUCUUGUUAAUACUUGUGCACCUGAUACGCUUCUGAUAUACGUAUUCUGGCUUUCUUUUUCCAUUUCUUUUUCUUUUUCCUUCCCUUCCUCCCUCCCUUCCUUCCUUCCUCUCUGUCUCUCCCUUCCUUCCUUCCAACCUUCCUUCCUUUCUCUCUCUCUCUCUCUCUUUCUUUUCAACCACAUUUGGUCUCAGUGGCUUACAACCAAGACUCUUGACAGAUUCAAGGCCUAAUGAACAGAAACUACCAGACUAUGGUGCAGCUUCAUCUCAUAUAGGUGGUGGGAUAUGAGGAAAAUCUUAUACCCAGUCUGAGCCUGUUUGCUCAUGUGGAAUGCUAUGAUUCCUAGAAGAACUGGGCAGUAAUUAUCACAUUUUCGUGCUUCUCUGAAUGAUCUACAAUUUGUGACACUUGAGCCAUGUCUGGAAGGAUGAAUGGGG